CGUGCCUGCACAUGAUGAAAAAUGAUGUUGGUAGGGACAUCUGAGUGCAUGAUGAAUGCCAACAUCUCUGAGCGGGCACG